GUGCCAGCUGCAGUGGGGGAG
rnacentral:miRNA from 3 species